AUUGAACGCUGGCGGCAGGCCUAACACAUGCAAGUCGAACGGUAACAGGAAGAAGCUUGCCUCUUUGCUGACGAGUGGCGGACGGGUGAGUAAUGUCUGGGAAACUGCCUGAUGGAGGGGGAUAACUACUGGGAACGGUAGCUAAUACCGCAUAACGUCGCAAGACCAAAAAGGGGGACCUUCGGGCCUCUUGCCAUCGGAUGUGCCCAGAUGGGAUUAGCUAGUAGGUGGGGUAACGGCUCACCUAGGCGACGAUCCCUAGCUGGUCUGAGAGGAUGACCAGCCACACUGGAACUGAGACACGGUCCAGACUCCUACGGGAGGCAGCAGUGGGGAAUAUUGCACAAUGGGCGCAAGCCUGAUGCAGCCAUGCCGCGUGUAUGAAGAAGGCCUUCGGGUUGUAAAGUACUUUCAGCGGGGAGGAAGGGAGUAAAGUUAAUACCUUUGCUCAUUGACGUUACCCGCAGAAGAAGCACCGGCUAACUCCGUG
rnacentral:rRNA from 1 species